CCCUUAGAUGUCCUGGGCUGCACGCGCGCUACACUGAUGUGUCCAGUAAGCACCUAACCUCUUCCGAAAGGAACGGGUAACCUUUGAAAAGCACAUCGUGAUGGGGAUAGAUUAUUGCAAUUAUUAGUCUUGAACGAGGAAUUCCUAGUAAGCACAAGUCAUCAGCUUGUGUUGAUUACGUCCCUGCCCUUUGUACACACCGCCCGUCGCUCCUACCGAUUGAAUGUUCCGGUGAGCUCUUCGGACUGCGCGGUCUGCAGUUUCUGCGUUCCGUGCGGAAAGUUGCGCAAACCUUAACAUUUAGAGGAAGGAGAAGUCGUAACA
rnacentral:rRNA from 1 species